UUGUGUGAAUACAUAGCACAUUCGAGGUAGACGCAGAGAACUGAAACAUCUAAGUACCUGCAGGAAGAGAAAGAAAAUUCGAUUCCCUGAGUAGCGGCGAGCGAAACGGGAAAAGCCCAAACCAGCAAGCUUGCUUGUUGGGGUUGUAGGACUCCAAUAUGGUAGUUCUUUCAGAUAGUCGAAUGACUUGGAAAAGUCAGUCAAAGAGGGUAAAAACCCCGUAGACGAAAUGUGGAAGACACCUAGGAGGAUCCUGAGUACGGCGGAACACGAGAAAUUCCGUCGGAAUCCGGGAGGACCAUCUCCCAAGGCUAAAUACUCCCUAGUGACCGAUAGUGAACCAGUACCGUGAGGGAAAGGUGAAAAGCACCCCGGAAGGGGAGUGAAAUAGAACCUGAAACCGUGUGCCUACAACAAGUCAAAGCCCGUUAAUGGGUGAUGGCGUGCCUUUUGUAGAAUGAACCGGCGAGUUACGAUUGCAUGCGAGGUUAAGUUGAAGAGACGGAGCCGCAGCGAAAGCGAGUCUGAAUAGGGCGUUUGAGUAUGUAGUCGUAGACCCGAAACCAUGUGAUCUACCCAUGUCCAGGUUGAAGGUGCGGUAAAACGCACUGGAGGACCGAACCCACGUACGUUGAAAAGUGCGGGGAUGAGGUGUGGGUAGCGGAGAAAUUCCAAACGAACUUGGAGAUAGCUGGUUCUCUCCGAAAUAGCUUUAGGGCUAGCCUCGGAAUUGAGAAUGAUGGAGGUAGAGCACUGUUUGGACUAGGGGCCCAUCUCGGGUUACCGAAUUCAGAUAAACUCCGAAUGCCAUUCAUUCAUAUCCGGGAGUCAGACUGUGAGUGAUAAGAUCCAUAGUCGAAAGGGAAACAGCCCAGACCACCAGCUAAGGUCCCAAAAUAUAUGUUAAGUGGAAAAGGAUGUGGGGUUGCACAGACAACUAGGAUGUUGGCUUAGAAGCAGCCACCAUUUAAAGAGUGCGU
rnacentral:rRNA from 1 species